rnacentral:lncRNA from 1 species
GGGAGUUUUUAUUCUGUGGAAGAAAAAGUGGGAAAGCUCCUGGUAACAGAAAAUUCUAAAUGAAUUCCUUGUGUUACAUCUGCAGUGCUGACUCACAUCUCUCUAAGGAAACUGCGUUGUCAUGUCGCUGCUAGCACAUCAGACGUGAAUUUCGUAUCCCUUCCAGGGAAAGUCCGCUUCAUGCCUCUGAUGGUCUGGAGCCCCCAUGAGCAGAACACAGCUUGUGUGGGCACAGGCUCGGGGGAGAUGCUCGUGGCACGAGCAUUUGGGACAGCAUCAAUCAUGUUUGUGACUCACGAUCUUCUAGGCAGUGUCUCUCUCACCUGCACGGUGAAGACCCAGGCAACAGGCUAACCCUGACUCAGACAAAUACAGAUGGUUCAAGCCAUCGGGAAAUUUAAGAAGAAAACAUUUCUUUCAGAACUUCUGAGAAUGGACACCUUAUCUCACUUCCAUUCCAUCUGGCAUUUCCCCAAGUAGCCAAACUGGA